rnacentral:rRNA from 1 species
GUGGGGAAUAUUGCACAAUGGGGGAAACCCUGAUGCAGCAACGCCGCGUGAGUGAUGAAGGUCUUCGGAUUGUAAAACUCUGUCUUUGGGGACGAUAAUGACGGUACCCAAGGAGGAAGCCACGGCUAACUACGUGCCAGCAGCCGCGGUAAUACGUAGGUGGCAAGCGUUGUCCGGAUUUACUGGGCGUAAAGGGAGCGUAGGCGGAUUUUUAAGUGGGAUGUGAAAUACCCGGGCUUAACCUGGGUGCUGCAUUCCAAACUGGAAGUCUAGAGUACAGGAGGGGAAAGUGGAAUUCCUAGUGUAGCGGUGAAAUGCGUAGAGAUUAGGAAGAACACCGGUGGCGAAGGCGACUUUCUGGACUGUAACUGACGCUGAGACUCGAAAGCGUGGGGAGCAAACAGGAUUAGAAACCCGUGUAGUCC